CCAGGGCUGCCCGAAGAAAAUCAGUCUUCUGAGCAGGCGGAGGGGAGGGCAGACCGCCGAGGCAGUGCGGAAGGAGGUGGUUAGAAUACACUGCCAGGAGCGAUCUCGUUACUGACACGGGCACGUGGCGUGCGUUAUCUGCUUAGGAGCAAGCCUGGAGAGUACCUGGCAGAGCCCUGCUGAGGCCUG